CACCGUUUUGAAGGAAGAAUAGAAGGAUUCACGAGGCUCGUGCGAGGAAGCGCGCUCACUGCUUUGUGCCCGGACGUACACAGACACACACACACACACACACACACACACACACACACACACACACACACACACACACACACACACACACACACACACACACAGGGUGCAUCGGGGAUUUCGCAUCGUGCGCUUUCUCGCACGAUCCGCGGAAAGAGAAGGACAACACCAACACGCACGGACCUCCGCGCGCUGCCAUCGGGUCCAGUCACCUCAUCUCCAUUUCGACGGCGCACUGGGGUCUGGCGAUUACGGCAGCUCUGUGCUAGCACUUCAUUCUCUUGCUUUUUUUUUCGUCUCGCGUGACGCACCAUGAGAAAAACUUUGCCGACCACGGUGGCCGCCGAGGCCGCUCCUCUCGUCUCCGCCGAGGAUGCAUGGGAAAGACUCUGGCGUUCCCUUCCCUCCGUGCAGAAGCAGCAUUGCAUCAAUACGGAAGCCUCAAAGGAAGCCGAGGGAGCCGCACCGCUGCAGCAAACGGCCAGGACGGAGGGUAGCUUGGGCGCUGAUGUACAUAGAGGCGCGGGGCCCGUAUCUUUGCUGUCCGUCGUUCUGCCGCGCGCAGAGAUGGCACAUCUGGUGACCUGCGUUUAUCUCGCCCUGCACAGCAACGCGAUCGAGUCAGACACCGAGGCCUCCGUGGAAGGGGCUCUGCGCGCGCCGUCUCUCGGCAAAGCCCACGGUGACGAGGCAGAGGCCCCAGAUGCGCCGAGGGUGCUGCGAGAGACCUACACCAGAGAAGACUUCAUCGCUUUUCUAGAGAGCGUGCCAUCCCGCUGGAUGCCUGAUAUGAUUGCUGCGCAAGAGGACGAGGAGGAGCGGAGUCUGUGGGUGGAAUUCAACGCUGAGCUCGUGGACUGCGUCGUGAGCGACGAGGCGCCGUACAGCCUGCUACCACCGACAGAGGUGUUCACCAUCCGACGCACGGCAGCGGCGGUAAACCUAGAGGCGCCGGUGAUCGACUACGUAGAGGUGCUGCCGCUUCGAUGGUACCCUGCUGUGUACGAUAACCUCUUUGGAAAACUCCAGCUGAAUGAUGACCGGAGCGACGCGAGCCUCACUCUUGCGCAGUUUCGCAUUUUCUUCGACUGGUUCCACAGACUGCAUUUUUGCAACACGGAUGCGUCGAGGUCGAAUGCGGCUGCCGAGGACGUGUACAAUCGGUACUGCGACCCGCGCGGCCAAUUCACCGCAACACAGUUUGAGCUGGCGUGCGAGGAAAUGUGCGCGGUGUACGCGCAGCGCCGCGACGCGGCCGCCUAUCUGGAACAGCUGGUGCACCGCACGGAGCAUGUGAUGGCUCAGCGCGACGAGGACGGUCCUGUAAACACGGCGCAGCAAGCCGCACGCAUGAGCGCUGAGUUUUUCCUCCAUCCGGAGGAGGUGACGCUGCCGAGCUGGCGUCGGUACUUGACGAGCCCUGUGUCGCUGUACAUGCCGGAUGAGCUACGCGUCGUGCAGCAGGAGAUCGAUCGCUACCAUCGCCAUAGGUGCCCGCGCAUCCUGCUCCUCGGGCCUGCAGGCAUUGGAAAGAGCGAGGUGGGCAGACAACUAGCUGAGGAGCUGCAUUGUGUUCACUUGGAUGUGCUGGAGCUGGCCAUGGCUGCGCUGCGCGAUACAGCGCAAAGGGCUGUCGCUGAGGAGCUGGAGGUGUGCCUUGCACAGCGCAUUGCAGUGCCGAUGAAGGUGCAGGUGCAGCUGUUGCAGGACGCCAUGACAAGCGCGCGUGCCGAGUACCGGGGCUACAUAUUCAGUGACACCAUGUUCUCCACAGCAGAGACCGCCGACGCGUUUCUCGAGCACUUUGUGCGACCGCUGCAGCUGUCAGAGAUGGCGAGGCCAGACCACGUUGUGGAGGUGUGCACCGCCGUUCCGGAUGUGUACCAGGAGCACGCGAGUGGCAGGAUUGCCAUUGCGGCAGCGGCGUCGCAGCAGGCGUGGGACGCCUUCGUCAAGGAUGAAGCGCAGAAGGCACGGGCUUUGGAGAAGGCGCAGAUGCGGGCUGAUUGCGAGAAGAUUCUAGCACACCUGGUGGAGAUGGAAGGCGCGACGGGGAAGGCAGCGCCGCCAGCUGCCGACUUGGAGCUGGCCCGUCAACAGGCGGCCGAGGCACAAAGCAUUCUGCUGGCCCUGGAGGAGGAGGAGGAGGAGGAGAAGGGCGCGGUUGCCGAGCGCGACGAGGAAGACGCAGCUGAGGAGGCGGGGCACACGAAGAGGUCCUCCCUGCCUCCCCUGGCGGCAGGAAGAGCAGCAGAGGUGCGUCUGCGCCUCGCAUCGCUUAUCCGCGAUGGCCGCAUCGAGGCGGGGGCGCAGCUUCCCUUUACAACGGCAGAGGGCGCUGCCGCUCGUCUUCCUUCUCUGGAGGAGCAGGACUGGACUUCCAGCUGGCGGAAACAUGUUGAGUUUGCCAAGAGUAUACACCACCACCUACUCGUGGACCCUAUUGCGUCCGCCAGCAUCGGGCACGUUACGUCGUAUAUCGCGCACGUGUUUCACCUGUACCCGUGCGAAGAGCCGGCGCUGCUCGGCUGUGCGAAGACGGGCGAGGACGAGGACGGCGGCGAAGACGGCGCCCACGGGCAGAGCACCUCCGUCGCCGCAGACGAGGAGCGCAGUCGUGCCGUAGAGGAGGCGGCGGAGGAGGCGGGGCUGUCACUCUCACCCGUGUGGAAGCGAUAUUGCCCUGUCACGGCGUUCGAGGAUCAUGUACUGAUUGAAGGUGCGGCCUGCUAUGCCUGCACCUACCGCGGCCACUACUACUGUUUCGCGUCUACCAGCAAGCGGGCCGCGUUCGUGGACUUCCCCAUCAAGUACCUGCGUCAGCGCCGCUCUCCCGACCGCAAACCGGUGCUCGUGGUAGCGGACGACACGCUGGUUCACUCCACAGACGCAAUGGUAGAGACCAUGCAACGCGUGGUGGGCGAGGUGGCGGCGCAGCUCAACCUGACGCCGUAUACCGUCUCGGAGUUCGUGAAGCUGCUCGAGCCGCGUCAGGCGCUUCUGCAGGCGCGCCACGCAGCGUGCGUCGGCCGGCAGAUGGCUGAGGAGGAGGCCCGUAAGGCGCGAGCGGAGCGCCUAGAGCUGGCCGCCAAAGCGCAGGCAAAGAAGAAAAAGGGCAAGAUGGAGCCCAAGAAACCGAAGCUCAAGAAGAAGGCUAGUGGACCAGGGCGUGCGUCAUUCUUGCAGCAAGCGCUACAGGACCGGCAGGGUAGCGCCGCAGCCUCUGCCGGGGCGCGCCGACGUGUUCCUCGCACGAUGUUCUUGGAGGGCCCGCAGAGCAUGGCCGACGAAAAGGCGAUGCAUAUUCGAGCAGCGAAAGAGAAGGCGGCAUGCACCGCGCCACUGCUGCUCUCGGCAGUGACGUCGGUGGAUCUGCAGAAGGACAUUCUUCAUGGGUUGUGGGAAGGGGACCUGCUUCCGGAGACGGUGCUGGUUCUGCGCCCUGCCGACGCGCCGGUCGCGGAGAUGGCCGAGGAGGACGAAGAAACGGAGAAGGGCAACGCAAACGGGAGUGACCUGCCGGUUCUUUCGCAAACGCUGAGACUGCUGAAAAGGGCCCGAAAAGUCGAGCGGCGCUCUGUGAUGGCGAGCAGGAGCCACCCGAGCGCGCAGCAGUCGCAACCGUUUAACGUGCUCACCAUCUCCUUGCCCAAGACGCCGGUGGUGCACGAGGUGAUCGCAGAGGUGAUGCAGUUGCUGGACCCGCUCGCCAUUCAAGCCAGCGAGGCCGCUGUGGAUCAAGCACUCGGAGAGGAGGAGGAGGACGCCUUCGACGAAGAGGCCGAGGAGGAGGCCGAGGAGGCGGCGUUACUGAACCCCGAUGGCGACGCGGCUCCCCGAGUGCCGCAACCGCCGCCCCACCCCCUUACGCGGCCGAUGCGCCGUUUCCUGCAUCAGUUCGGGUCGCGUCUCGACUAUUGUCCCGUUACGCUGCGUGAGCGCGGCAUCCUCGUUCGCGGGCGACAGGAGUUCUGCCUGCGCUUCGUGGACGGUCUUUACGUGUUCGCCACCCAGGAGGCGCGCGACGCGUUCGCGCGCUGUCCGCAGCGCUACGUCGGCGAACUACCUCCUGAGACGCUUCCGCCUCGCGUGUGGUUGGUGGGGCCGACGCGCUCCGGCAAGAAGACACUCGCAGCUGGGCUGCAGGAGGCUUAUCGCGUGCCUUUCUUUGUAUACGACCGCCAUUUUUUCGAGGAGUGUGUCGAGGCGGUCCUGACGCCAGGAGGUGGCAUGGUAAGGGGCGUGUACAUCCCUCAGGAUAGCGAAGAUACGAACCCGUAUGUUGGCCGCGCGCGCAUGCUGCUAGAGGAGGUGCGCAACAGGGCGCGGGAGGAGAAGACGAAGCUGAAGGCCAGGGCAGAGGCUGAGCGCCUGUUGCAGGAACGUGAGCAGCGCGAGGAGGAGCGUGCCGCGCGCAGCGACGCGGACGCGGACGAGGAGGACAACGAUAACGAGGAUGUCUGGGACGAAGCCAAAGAGGCUGACCUGCAGGAGAAGCUCGAGUUCGAGCCGGAGGACCCCGAGGACAAGCAGGCGCGCCUGAGUGAGGCAUACCUGCGCAUUGCCAGUUGUGUGACGCGCUUCCGCCCCUUCGAUACGCUCGGCUAUGUGAUGAUCUGCCCGCCGUUCUCUGACGGCGACCUCGACGUCCUCUUUGACGAAGGCUGCAUCCCGGAGGUGGUGAUGCGGCUCAACAUCGACGAGGAGACCUUUGCGCAGCGAGGCGCACUGCGCGCGACAGAGCGGCGCGAGGCAGUCGAGCACGCCAGCGUGCAGGACACUGCCGCAAAGGAGGUGGAAGCCACGAAGCAGGCCACGCAAGCCAUCCGCGACGCCGCACGGCUGCAGCGACGCCGCGAAAAAGCGCUGCGGAAGUGGCGUCGUCGGCACAUUGGCGCGAAUGACGUCGAUUCCCCAUCGGAGGAGGAGGCGGAGGCGCCGCCCGCGCAAGGGCACUCUGGCGACGCGCAAAGCGGCGAUGACCACGACGAUUUGGACUCGGCGGCUGCUGCCGCCAUCCACGGAGAGGGCCAGCUGGGCAUGGAGGAAGACCAUCCCACACAGGAAGAGGCGCUGGAUGAGUUCAUGGGCAUUAUCGAAGAGCGGCAUGUUGAGGUGGUACGGGUCGACGGCAGGGCUGCGAGGGAGACGGUUUGCCGUGCCGUCGUUGAGGCCCUGGGACGCCACAUGCGCCACCGUGCCUCGCUCUUCUACGUGCCAGAGGUUAUGCGCUUCGAAGACGCAAAGGCGCGCCUGACGGCUGGCGGUUGCGAUCUGUCGUCGUUCGGCUACGAGGACCCGGUGCGCUUGUACAGAUAUCGCAAAGAAGGCCCGCAGACCGCUUGCGCCUGGAAGCUCGCCGGCGUGCGCGUCGGCCCGGAGCAGCCGCUGCAGGAGAGCGCACAGGGCUUCUACGCCGACGACGCUGCUGGUGACGCGGAAGCUGGCGACGACAACGAGUUAGAGGAGCCAGAGGUUCUGAGCGAGGUACUGUCCGACGAGGUGCAGGAGCUGCGCGACGUGGUCGAGAGGCGCAAGCGGCGAUGCCAGCGAAAGGCAGCGCCGCGAGUGGCGCGCGUGAACCACCGUCUCUACUUCUUCAAGGACGACGACUCGCUUCUCUGUUUCGUACGCGAUCCGUGGCCCUUCAUGCGCCAGGCACCACCAAACCCGACGCUUCUCCAGCAGCCCGUCGUGUCCGUGUACGAGCACGACGUCCGUUACGCCACGGAGAAGGGCAGCGCCAAGGAGCGCGUGCUGGCCGACUCUGUAGCGUUCAACCUAGGUAUGAGGUGCAUGUCUGUUUCGUCGCUCCUGGCCUGGGGGGCGGUGCACCCGCACUGGCACGCGCUGAAGCUUGACUGCAUGUUGGCGGCUCAGCAAGGCAGCGCAGACCCUACCCUUGUACAAAAGCUGCUCGUUUUGUACUUGUCGACGGCGGAGGUGAAGCACAGCGGUGCGGUGCUGCACAACUUGCCGCAUACCGCCAUGUCAGCGGAGGCCCUCCCGCGGGUAGCGUGCGCUGCGCCGAUCGUCAAGGUGAUGGCGGCUUCAUCGGCCCCCUUGAGGGAUGGCAGGGCAGAUGACCACUCAGCGCCGGACGCGGAUGGAGAAGCCGAUGGGUGGAGCGCUGCCGUGGCCGCUUUGGAGCGCCACGCGGCCGUGCGGUUGCCGCUUCCCCGGCCGAGCGUGCCCCUCGACGCCAGCAACCUCGUCGCGGCAGUUCACGGUGUCGAGGAGUACGUUCAGCAGACACAGGAGUCCGUGCUGCGAGAGCAGCGUGCUUUUCCAGCUCGGCUACACAACUCCUAUCAAGUCUACAGCUAUGUACACCGUCACCUGUCCCAAUUCACCGCCUUCUGCCCGUACGAGUGGCUUGAGCACGACGACCUUGUGCGCAGCGUACACGCGCCCCAGGCCAUCGCCGCGGCGGCCGCUAUGUCGACGCUUUUUUGGCUGCCUGCCACAAAUGAGGUGGACUUGCGUUGGGGUGCGAUUUACCUGAAUCAGUACUUCUUCUUCAGCUCCGCCGAGUACCUCGAGCGUUUCCUUGUUGACCCGACGACGGUGACGGACGCGUCGAAGGCGAAGCCGAUGCCGAAGCACUUCCCCGUCAUCAUUUUGCAUCCGGUGGACGAGGCUUGCCUGGCACUAGAGGGCUGCUGCCCAGUACUGCUCUACGAUACGCGCGAGAUUCGCGGGAUGCGUCGGGUGAUUCAGCCGGUGGCCAAAAAGGGAUUGCUCGACUGUGUUGUCGAGUACGACGGCAAACUGUACGCGCUGCGUAACAAGGAACACAUGGCACGGUUCCUGCGCCGUCCGUGGCAGUACGUCGAUGGGGCUCACCUGCCACAGAUGCUGCGGCGUCCUCUGCCCACCGGCACCUCUCCAUCCGACAUCGUCGAUCACGAGGAGUACAUCCAGCGACAGUUGUACGAUCCGGUAGCUCUGGCGCUGCUCGCGGUCGCGCAGGCGCGCCCGAUUUACCCCGGGCUCUCCGUCGAGGAGUCCGCGCUCAAGUACAUCGCGCUCUACCUAAAGGCGCACCGCGACCCGGACUCCCUCAGUGACUUUGAGGAGAAGACGUACCGUCGCCAUUUCGAGGUGUACCAGCAACGCGCGACGCUGUACCGACACUUACCCUCGUCGUCACCUAAGGCAAAGACGAAACAAACGUCCGCGGAGAGUGCGACGGGAGCUGUGACCGUUUCAGCCGCCGCGGCAGAGCGGGAGUACUGUGCCGCCUUCGACAAUUCCAUGGCUGCCGCAGGCGACAUGAGCUUCUUCAACCGGCUACCACGCCCCUCAGACGCUGCCUUGUAGCGGCGGGCGGGAGAGGGUGCGUGUGCCGUCUUCUCUGCUGCUGUCUUGUGUGCUGGUGCCUUUCACGCGCGCGCCUCUGAUAUUUCCCAGUCGUGUCUGCUCGUGGGGUGAGCGACAAGGGGGAGGCGGUCAUGCUUGAGCCUGUGUAGGAGUGUGUCUUGCACCACCGGCUGUGCCGAUGUACGUGCACGUGUGCGUUUUUGUGUGUUCGUUCUUGGACUUGUCGGUGACAGGCACGCUUGUCUGCAUCACCGCCACCCUCCGUACGGUAGCGUUGCGGUUGUGCGGCGAUGCGGACUUUCUUCAGCUGCCACGUGGGUGCCCCAAUCUUUCAGGCACCCGUCCUUACUUGAAUGUAUCCUCGCUUAAGGAGGCCAGGAAAGAGGGCGGCGUGCGCAGGGAGGGAGAAGCGGAUGUAACAUAGCUUGAUCAUUGGUGCUGACCAGUGUCUCUCUCUCUCCUUUUCCCAGCAUGUAGUGGUGCGAUACAAC
rnacentral:misc_RNA from 1 species